rnacentral:lncRNA from 1 species
GGCAGUGCUAUGUACUGAACUGUUUCACACUAUCACAAAUAAAAUUGCAGGUUGAGCCUCACUUCACACACACACACACUCACACACACACACACACACACACACACGUGCGCACGCAGAGUAUCAGGAAAUAGCCUGUCCGUUUUGGCUGCAGACGCAGGGAUUUUGGUUUCCUUGGCUUCUGAGCUGUUCUUGGAGCGGGGCCAUCUAGGGAAACUGAGCAAGUACACGGGGCCAUCAAACUUGGGCUGGAUCCAUCAGGCACACAAAAAACACUCUCCAGCUCUCUCCCCGAAGUGGAGCAGACAAAAGUGCUGUUGAUGCUGAAGCUGCAGAAAGCUUCAGAAGGCCCCGUGGGAGGAAGCUUGGCACGAGAGGCGAGCAGCUCCAACUGACCCUGGAAGGGAGCAGCAGGCUGGGGUGAGAUCCAGACUCCGCUCAGAUCGGAAUGCCUGCACCCUUUGCCUUGCCUCACUGUGAAGGAGAGAAACGGUCUGCCUGGCCUGCGUCCCUUCCUGGGGCUGAAGCUUCUGGGCCUGCCCCAGGGUCCUGAACGGCUGACAACACACGGAUCAACUGGACCACUGGUGACCACAGAAAGGAGGCUGCAGCUGUUUCUUGCUACGCUUCGAGAGAUCAAAGAGCGUGCGGAGCACUGGCCCGCUUCAAAGAACAAGACCCAGGAGAGGAAGGGCCUCGCAGACCUCCUGACUCAAGGCGACCUCCUCCUGAUUCAGGGCACCCUCCUGACUUAGGGCACAUUUAGGCUCCUGCAAAGGGAGCGCAGCCUGAGGCCGUGAACAGCGCCACCCCCUAGUGGCUUAGAAGGGCCAUGCUAGUCUCUCCAGGAAGCCAGGCUGGGGUGCAGUGGCGCCAUCCUUGACUCACUGCAUCCUCGACCCCCUGGGCUCAAGUGAUCCUCCUGAGAGGUGACAGCGUGCUGGCAGCCCUGGCUCGCUCUCUGCGCCUCCUCUGCCUGGGUCCCACUUUGGCGGCACUUGAGGAGCCCUUCAGCCCGCCGCUGCACUGUGGGAGACCCGUCCUGGGCUGGCCAAGACCGGAGCCGGCUUCCUCAGCUUGCCGGGAGGUGUGGAGGGAGAGGCGCAGGCAGGAACCGGGGCUGCGUGCGGCGCUUGCGGGCCAGCGCGAGUUCCGGGUGUGCGUGGGCUCGGCGGGCCCCGCACUCGGAGCGGCCCCCCAGCCCACAAGCCCCAGGCAUUGAGGGGCUUAGCACCUGGGCCAGCAGCUGCUGUGCUCGACUUCUCGCCAGGCCUUAGCUGGCUCCCCGCGGGGCAGGGCUCGGGACCUGCAGCCCGCCAUGCCUGAGCCUCCCCUCCCCGCCAUGGAUGGGUUCCUGCGCGGCUGGAGCCUUCCCAAGGAUCGCCGCCCCCUGCUCCAGGGCGCCCAGUCCCAUCGACCACCCAAGGGCUGAGGAGUGCGGCGGCACAGCACCGGACUGGUAGGCAGCUCCACCUGCGGCCUUGGUGCAGGAUCCACUGGGUGAAGCCAGCUGGGCUCCUGAGUCUGGUGAGGACUUGGAGAACCUUUAUGUUUAGCUAAGGGAUUGUAAAUACACCAGUCGGCACUCUGUAUCUAGCUCAAGGUUUGUAAACACACCAAUCAGCACCCUGUGUCUAGCUCAGGGUUUGUGAAUGCACCAAUCCACACUCUGUAUGUGGCUUCUCUGGUGGGGACUUGGAGAACCUUUAUGUCUAGCUAAGGGAUUGUAAAUACACCAAUCGGCACUCUGUAUCUAGCUCAAGGUUUGUAAACACACCAAUCAGCACCCUGUGUCUAGCUCAGGGUUUGUGAAUGCACCAAUCAACACUCUGUAUCUAGCUACUCUGGUGGGGACUUGGAGAACUUUUGUGUCCACACCCUGUAUCUAGCUAAUCUAGUGGGGAUGUGGAGAACUUUUGUGUCUAGCUCAGGGAUUGUAAACGCACCAAUCAGCACCCUGUCAAAACGGACCAAUCAGCUCUCUGUAAAAUGGACCAAUCAGCAGGAUGUGGGUGGGGCCAGAUAAGGGAAUAAAACUGCUUAAAACUGCUUGCCCGAGCCAAAAGUGGCAACCCGCUGGGGUUCGUGUCCAUGCUAUGGAAGCCUUGUUCUUUCACUCUGCAAUAAAUAUUACUGCUGCUCACUUUUUGGGUCCACUCUGCCUUUAUGAGCUGUAACACUCACCGGGAAGAUCUACAACUUCACUCCUUGAGCCAGGGAGACCACGAACCCCUCGGGGAAGGAACGAAGAAUUCCAGACGCACCGUCUUAAGAGCUGUAACGCUCACCGCGAAGGUCUGCAGCUUCACUUCUGAGCCAGCGAGACCACGAGCCCACCAGAUGGAAGAAACUCCAAACACAUCCGAACAUCAGAAGGAACAAACUCCGGACACACUGCCUUUAAGAACUAUAACACUCACCGCGAGGGUCUGCGGCUUCAUUCUUUAAGUCAGUGAGACCAAGAACCCACCAAUUCUGGACACACUUCCACCUCAGUUUCCUGAGUAGUUGGGACCACAGGUGUGCACCACCACGUCUGGAUAAUUGUUAUAUUUGUUUUGCAGAGAAGGUUUCACCGCAUUGCCCACGCUGGCUUCAAACUCCUGUGCUCAAGGAAUCCACCCACCUCAGCCUCCCAAAGUGCUGAGAUUACCAUUGUAACCCAGUGCCUGGCCCUAGAAAAGUGUUUUGUAGCUGGGCAACAUAGCAAAACCUCGUCUCUAUAAAAUAAACAUUUUAAAACCAGCCACCAUGGUGGGACAUGCCUGCAA